rnacentral:lncRNA from 1 species
CUUCCCUUAUGAUUGGAGUUUGUCUAGAAGGUGUGGUCUCAUUUACAUCCUGCCUCAACUGCCUUUGGCUUCUCUAGAUUCACCCCUUGCCUGUGGCUGGAAAAGGAACUCCUGCAAACAGAAAAAAACGGCUGUGUGAAAAACACGUUUUUUCUUCCUCUGUUUCUUCACUGUGUGCAUUCCUACUGGAAUUUCUGCUUCCCAGAGAGAUUUGACAAUCCGGCUUCAGCACCAGCUGGGGUGUGGAAGGCAGUCUGGCCAGGAAUAUUGGCAGAAAUAUGAAAUCUCUUCAGUCCUGUACGUGGCCUUCUAGAAACCUGUAUGGAGGCUUUGUGGAAUCUGCAGAAUGGGCAGUUCUUGAGGUUGGAGGAGUGAUCCUGGAAAGCCAGUACGAAGCAUCAGCACAGUUGAAGAAAACCAGUGAGGAUCACCAUGGAGAAGAAAGAAGCCGAUGAGCACAGAGAAACAGGCAGCAGCUGUUAUGAGCACAAUCCAAGUUCAAGGACCACCCACGGCUUCACUGCAGGAAUUGGGGUGGACUGAGUACAUUCUGCAGCAAGAAUAAGGGAAAUUGAGACUAAGAAUUACGGAGGAUAGGUGUUUGACUUAAAUUGAGCCUGAGGAAGGAGAGGAAAAGAUGUUUACUUGAGUGUUUAAUUGUUUAUAUUAUAUCUUUUCUUUUCUGAUACCUGGAUCAGUGAUCAAAAAUUUCUGUUAAUUGGUAAUUCAUUAAAUUAAGUAAAAGUUGACCAGUUUUUGCCUUUGAUGCUGGCAAGUGCAAUAGCCAAACCUUCAUUUCCUGGACACCCUUUAGCAUAUUCUGCUUUGAUAAAGCAGAGAUGCAUUAAAAUCUUUGGAAACUACAGAUAAAUUCAGAUUAAGACUCUUUAUCUUGUCUAAGUACUCUGAAGAGG